rnacentral:rRNA from 1 species
CAUGCAGUCGAACGAUGAUGCCCAGCUUGCUGGGUGGAUUAGUGGCGAACGGGUGAGUAACACGUGAGUAACCUGCCCCUGACUCUGGGAUAAGCGUUGGAAACGACGUCUAAUACUGGAUAUGAUCGCCGGCCGCAUGGUCUGGUGGUGGAAAGAUUUUUUGGUUGGGGAUGGACUCGCGGCCUAUCAGCUUGUUGGUGAGGUAAUGGCUCACCAAGGCGACGACGGGUAGCCGGCCUGAGAGGGUGACCGGCCACACUGGGACUGAGACACGGCCCAGACUCCUACGGGAGGCAGCAGUGGGGAAUAUUGCACAAUGGGCGAAAGCCUGAUGCAGCAACGCCGCGUGAGGGAUGACGGCCUUCGGGUUGUAAACCUCUUUUAGUAGGGAAGAAGCGAGAGUGACGGUACCUGCAGAAAAAGCACCGGCUAACUACGUGCCAGCAGCCGCGGUAAUACGUAGGGUGCAAGCGUUGUCCGGAAUUAUUGGGCGUAAAGAGCUCGUAGGCGGUUUGUCGCGUCUGCUGUGAAAUCCCGAGGCUCAACCUCGGGCUUGCAGUGGGUACGGGCAGACUAGAGUGCGGUAGGGGAGAUUGGAAUUCCUGGUGUAGCGGUGGAAUGCGCAGAUAUCAGGAGGAACACCGAUGGCGAAGGCAGAUCUCUGGGCCGUAACUGACGCUGAGGAGCGAAAGCAUGGGGAGCGAACAGGAUUAGAUACCCUGGUAGUCCAUGCCGUAAACGUUGGGCGCUAGAUGUAGGGACCUUUCCACGGUUUCUGUGUCGUAGCUAACGCAUUAAGCGCCCCGCCUGGGGAGUACGGCCGCAAGGCUAAAACUCAAAGGAAUUGACGGGGGCCCGCACAAGCGGCGGAGCAUGCGGAUUAAUUCGAUGCAACGCGAAGAACCUUACCAAGGCUUGACAUACACCGGAAACGGCCAGAGAUGGUCGCCCCCUUGUGGUCGGUGUACAGGUGGUGCAUGGUGUCGUCAGCUCGUGUCGUGAGAUGUUGGGUUAAGUCCCGCACGAGC